GACACGGGGUCCGCGGGCGGGAGGGAGAGCUGAGCCGGCGGAGAAGAUGCUGAGGAAAGGGUCGGUGCUGGCCCGGGCUGCACCUCGGUGCCUUGCCACCCCGGGAGACGCGAAGGGGCUGCUGUGCGAAGUCGAUGGGAGCUGCUGAGACCGAGAACUGGGAGCGUAGUGGAGCCAGGCUGCCCAGCAGGGCCAUGGGGGCGCGCGGCGGGCCAAGGCUCUGCGGGUCCGCGCUACCCCUCGGAGUGACCCGAAGGAGACCAGCCGGGGCUGGAGAAAUGGGUUCCCUGAGACAAGUGUGACCUACGUGCCCAGCCCACCAGCCUGACGCCUAGCCAGAGAGAGAGGACCAUGGAUGGCAUCAUUGAACAGAAGAGCAUGCUGGUGCACAGUAAAAUCAGUGAUGCUGGCAAGAGGAAUGGCUUAAUUAACACCAGAAACUUGAUGGCCGAGAGCAGAGAUGGUCUGGUAUCUGUUUACCCAGCGCCCCAGUACCAGAGCCACCGGGUGGGGGCCAGCCCAGUGCCGGCCAGCCUGGACAGCACCAGGAGUGAGCCGGUGCAGCAGCUGCUGGACCCCAACACCCUGCAGCAGUCGGUGGAGUCCCGCUACAGGCCCAACAUCAUCCUGUAUUCAGAGGGCGUGCUGCGUUCCUGGGGGGACGGUGUGGCCACCGACUGCUGUGAGACCACCUUCAUCGAGGACCGGUCACCCACCAAAGACAGCCUCGAGUACCCCGAUGGGAAGUUCAUCGACCUCUCAGCUGAUGACAUAAAAAUCCAUACCCUGUCCUACGAUGUGGAGGAGGAGGAGGAGUUCCAGGAGCUGGAGAGCGACUACUCGAGCGACACAGAGAGUGAGGACAAUUUCCUCAUGAUGCCCCCGCGGGACCACCUGGGCCUCAGUGUCUUCUCCAUGCUCUGCUGCUUCUGGCCUCUGGGCAUCGCAGCCUUCUACUUGUCCCAUGAGGUUGCAGGACAUCUCCCUUGGGGGCUGUGUCUGAUGCCCUGCAGCCAGCCCUGCUGAUGGAGCCUGGCUGCUUCCUGCGUUCCCAAUGAUGAGCCCUUGUGCCCUGGGCUGUUAAGGCUCUGCCUCUGCUGUGAGCUGAAACGCUUUCUCUGAAGAGCCCUCAUGGUGCAGAAAUAGUGUCUUUGGGUCCUGCUGAGCCCCUACCCCCAGCCCACCGCUGGCACAAGGUGCAGGCACCAGGCACUACUUGGGGCUUCCCCAACCACCUGCAUUUUCUAACCACCUGCACUUAUUUUCCAACGAAAGGCCAAUAAAGAAAGUCACAAACUUCACUUGCAGCCUGUCGGCAAGAGGGCAGGGAGGGAAAAGCCCAGCCACAAGAAAUAACAAUCUUGACAAACUUUUUUGCACCUACACACAAAGCCUUGCCUUCAGCUCAGAGACUCUUGGACUCAGGUCAAGUUGCCCUGCCCUCAUGCACAGCAAAAACCCUUGUCAAAGAGCCGGGAGCUUUCAUCCAGCAGCCGUCAGGAUGGAAACAUGUCUUCCCAUUUGCACCCUGUCAAAGGAAUGAGCACGCUGUUUCGCAGCCACAGUUAUCCAUUUUCUGAAACAAAAGGUUCACGUCAGACCAACAAAGCCGUGGCCAAGGGGGACUUGCACCAGGCCAGCACCAGCUCCCGGCGGGCCCUGUUCCUGGCAGUGCUGUCCAUCACCAUUGGGACUGGCGUCUAUGUGGGCGUGGCCGUGGCCCUUAUCGCCUACCUCUCCAAGAACAACCACCUGUGAGCUUCCUCCAAACAGAGGGGGAGCGCCCGGGGCCAGGUCUGUGUGGACGUGGAGGAAGCAGACAUACCGCAUGACGCUGUACAGUACAAAUGAUUGCCAAAAGACGCCGCGAAGCCCUGGGAUUUCCUACCCGUGAAUUUCUUUUGUUUUUAUCCUUUAAUUUCAUGUUCACAGCACUGUGUAGAGCACCAGACAGACGGGCACUGCUAAUGCUUCCAAAGGAAAGCUCCAAAGAUCCCAGCCCGCAAGGCUGUCUCUGGAUGGAUUCUGGUGGAUGAAUGGCAACGUGGCUCUCUGCAGCCUGCCAGUGCCCAGAGUGCCACCGCAUGAGCAAUAUACAAACAGUCCAAAAAAGUGUUUAUUUUUUAUGGAACACGGUGCAAUAGGCAGAGGACAAGGGACACAUCACUCUUCUGUCUGUGGCCCUGCUGGAGUCCUUUGUGCCCCUUCUGAGUCCACACGCCUUCCCUGCAAGAUGAGAAUGGGGCUGGGAAGAAAGAGGUGACACCAUGGCUGGCAGGAGCCCCGCUGCACUGCUCUGCAGAUCCAUUGGUCUGACCCUGGAAGCAGAGCUAGCCCGGGACCUGCCCCUGUUCCUUUCCCUACACACCACCCCAGCCUCAAGAUGUCGAGCCACUCCAGAACGUGUCUACACUCCACAGCUACCCCGCAGCAAUACGCACUCUUGGGACCUCACUGAUCUAGGAUGGGGAGGCAGGCCACCGCCCCUCCCAAGACUCCUCAAGAAAGAGCCCCGCGGUUGCUCCAGAAACUUGAGGCACUGCAGCCGUGGGCACUGCCUCAGCGUAAAGACACAGGGGCGCCUCCCAAUCACCGCGCUGGCGGAUGCUCACCCCGUCAUAAGCAGAAACUAGUGAUCCUGGAAACGAGAUGGGCCUUACUCUGUCGACUAAAUGAAUAGCUAUUUUCUUGUCAUUUUUUAAAGUGCAACUCUUGCUUCAUGCUGCUUAAGUUACCAGACGAAUGCUGAGAAAUAAGUAAUCACAGACAUUUUAAUACCAUUUCA